CGGGAUGAACGCUAGCGACCAGGCUAACACAUGCAAGUCGAGGGGCAGCAGUAAAAGUAGCAAUACGUUGGUGGCGACCGGCGCACGGGUGAGUAACGCGUAUGCAACCUACCUAUCAGAGGGGAAUAACCCGGCGAAAGUCGGACUGAUACCGCAUAAAACAGGGGCACCGCAUGGUGAUAUUUGUUAAAGAAAUUCGCUGAUAGAUGGGCAUGCGUUCCAUUAGGUAGUUGGUGAGGUAACGGCUCACCAAGCCGACGAUGGAUAGGGAACUGAGAGGUUGGUCCCCACACUGGUACUGAGACACGGACCAGACUCCUACGGGAGGCAGCAGUGAGGAAUAUUGGUCAAUGGGCGGGAGCCUGAACCAGCCAAGUCGCGUGAAAGGAAGAAGGAUCUAUGGUUCGUAAACUUCUUUGCAGGGAAUAAAGUGCAGGACGUGUCCUGUUUUGUAUGUACCCUGAGAAUAAGGAUCGGCUAACUCCGUGCCAGCCGCUGC
rnacentral:rRNA from 1 species